GUUCAAUCGUUCGAAAGUUCGACUUCGAAGCACAAGGUCUGCGGUUCGAAUCCCGUCAUGU
rnacentral:tRNA from 1 species